rnacentral:rRNA from 1 species
UACAGAGGUCUCGAGCGUUAGGCGGAAUCACUGGGCUUAAAGCGUGUGUAGGCGGAUCGUUAAGUACCUUGCGAAAUCCCACGGCUUAACCGUGGAGCUGCUUGGUAUACUGGCGGUCUUGAGCCAGCUAGGGGCUACCGGAACAAAUGGUGGAGCGGUGAAAUGCGUAGAUAUCAUUUGGAACGCCAAUGGUGAAAACAGGUAGCUGGGGCUGUGCUGACGCUGAGACACGAAAGCCAGGGGAGCAAACGGG